rnacentral:rRNA from 1 species
GGGUGAGUAACACGUGGGCAACCUGCCUGUAAGACGGGGAUAACUCGUGGAAACGCGAGCUAAUACCGGAUAAUGCUCAUGGCUGCAUGGCCAGGAGCUGAAAGGGCGGCCUUUGGCUGCCGCUUACAGAUGGGCCCGCGGCGCAUUAGUUAGUUGGUAAGGUAAAAGCUUACCAAGGCGACGAUGCGUAGCCGACCUGAGAGGGUGAUCGGCCACACUGGGACUGAGACACGGCCCAGACUCCUACGGGAGGCAGCAGUAGGGAAUCAUCCGCAAUGGACGAAAGUCUGACGGUGCAACGCCGCGUGAGUGAUGAAGGUUUUCGGAUCGUAAAACUCUGUUGUCAGGGAAGAACACGUGCUGUUCGAAGAGGGCAGCACCUUGACGGUACCUGACCAGAAAGCCCCGGCUAACUACGUGCCAGCAGCCGCGGUAAUACGUAGGGGGCAAGCGUUGUCCGGAAUUAUUGGGCGUAAAGCGCGCGCAGGCGGUCUUUUAAGUCUGAUGUGAAAUCCCGCGGCUCAACCGCGGGCGGUCAUUGGAAACUGGAGGACUUGAGUGCAGAAGAGGAGAGUGGAAUUCCACGUGUAGCGGUGAAAUGCGUAGAGAUGUGGAGGAACACCAGUGGCGAAGGCGACUCUCUGGUCUGUAACUGACGCUGAGGUGCGAAAGCAUGGGUAGCGAACAGGAUUAGAUACCCUGGUAGUCCAUGCCGUAAACGAUGAGUGCUAGGUGUUAGGGGGUUUCCACCCCUUAGUGCUGAAGUUAACGCAAUAAGCACUCCGCCUGGGGAGUACGGCCGCAAGGCUGAAACUCAAAAGAAUUGACGGGGGCCCGCACAAGCGGUGGAGCAUGUGGUUUAAUUCGAAGCAACGCGAAGAACCUUACCAGGUCUUGACAUCCUCUGAUGGCGGUAGAGAUACCGUGUUCCCUUCGGGGACAGAGUGACAGGUGGUGCAUGGUUGUCGUCAGCUCGUGUCGUGAGAUGUUGGGUUAAGUCCCGUAACGAGCGCAACCCUUGAUCUUAGUUGCCAGCAUUCAGUUGGGCACUCUAAGGUGACUGCCGGUGACAAA